GUACCUUCUGCAAUCCGGUGCGCCGCAGCCGCUGGGCCCUGGACUCCACCGGCUCCUCGUCCGAGCUCUCUCCAACUUCGGCCUCCAGCUGCUCUGGGCCCAGCUCGGACUGGUCCGCCGGGCCCAAGGGCUCUGGUGCCUUCUGGAAAGCGCUGGCUGGGACUUCACCCUCCUCCUGCAUGUGACGGACACAGCACUGAUCCUGGCAGCUCCUUACCCCCAGCAGCCCGAAACUCACUCCUUAAUUACACAAGGGAAACCUUUUACCUCCGCAGCCAGAGUCUGGGGGGAAAGGCAGGCGUGGGAAGCACUAACUCCCUCUCUGGAUAUCUGGAACAAGGAGGACCUUAAACUUAACAAUAAAGCCAAUGAUGGUUCUACCAGUCUCCCCAAAGCCUCAAGUUUAAAAGCCAUAUGAACUGGCUGAUAGUGGAAAAUGGAAGCCAUGAGGAAAUCAGAUUAGAGUACUACCUGGUGAAGCCUGGAGGACCUACCAAGAAAAGCAAACUUGGAUCUUUGCAAGGUUAGAAGAACGAAUGGGAUCCAAGAAAAAGACUGGUCAUAUUCAACGGCUAAGAGCGUUGGAGAAGGCCUGUGGAGUCUCAGCAGGUCAGGUCCAUGACUCAUGAGUAGACACCUGUGUUUCUACUGCCUGGUGCCAUAAUCAUAAACAAGGAAGAAACUGAGGACAGGAGGGGCCAAACAAGUUACAGUUUCAUCCCUCCAGAGAGCCAACAGAGUAUUUUGCACGAAGUUGAAGCUAAACAGGUAUUAUGUCCUAUCUCUGGACUGAAUGACUAGAUGCUACUCAGCUUCUGAACUAGAGGAAGCCUGGGACCUUGACCGCACUAAUGCUGAUGACAGCGGAUUUGCAAGUGGCUAGAGGUACCAGAUUUAGCAAAUCAAAAUAUAGGACGUCAAGUUAAAUUUAAGUGUAAGAUAAGCUACGAAUACCUUUUCUAGUAUUAGUACGUCCCAUGCAAUAUACUAGAAAUGUUAUUCGUUAUUUAUGUUAAAUUUAAUUUUAUUAGGGCAUCCUAUAUUUUACCUGUCAAUCCAACCCAUGACCUAGGCAGACACUGUAGAAAAACAAAAGGAGAAUUAAGGAGAUAAAUGAAACACAGGGUGAGCUGAAAAGAGGUGCUCUGUGAAUUUGAGGGUCCAGUAGGAGCUGACUUGUAGGUACUUGGUCUGUUUUGAUGCCCACAACAACCUUGGGGAAGGGGCGGAAUAGCAGAGGGGUAAGCUCUCUGCCCCCCACCAGGGUUCUGCAGGACGCCAGGGCUUUUAUCAGCACCCCUAUGUUCACAUCCUGGCUGCACCCUCCUUGGUUGUAUAUACUCUGGAUAAUUCACUUAAUUUAAAUCUUGCUGCUUUUAUAAAAUUGAUAAAAAGUUAAUAGUGACACUGAUCACACUGAUGUCCCUCAAUGAAUUAUCAAUAUGUUUUUUCUUCCCACCUAUAUUCUUUAUUGAACUCUGUUAUUUUUGAUCCUGGUCUAGAGUAAGCAUUAUGACCAUGCAAGAGUGAAAUGAAAUUUUUAAAAAUAAUUUUUUAAUGUUUUCUGAAUGCUGGGUGUUUUCAAUGAUCAUGCAUGACUGGCAGCAAAGAGGAACGAGGAUGGAUUCGAUAAGGUGCAACAAGUCCUGAACACACACAGAGAACUGGCUGUGAAUCCUGUUUCUGCCACUCACCACUUACUUGUUGGGUAACCUUAGCCACUUCAUUUAUCCUCUCUGAUCUUCAGGCCUACCUCAUGUCCUCCCCAAAGAGAUGGUGGGUAAGAGAGAACUUUGCAAAAGGCUGCCAGAGCAUAAAUAGGUCUUAUGACUAUGUAGCAGAAAAAUGGGACCUCAAAGAGGAGAGAGACCUGCAAAGCGGGGGACUGCUGCCAUUCUUUGAGUGGUGGCUCAAAAUAUUUCCCCAAACUGUCCCCAUCUGGUCAGGAUGCCCCACAGCCUUUUACUAAGAUGGUGUCUUCAUCUAGCCUCAGCCCAGCUGCAGUACCUUUCUGGAACUCCCACCACUGAUGCUCAAGAGGAGAGUGUAAGUUCAAGAGGGUUAAGCUCUCUACCCACCCGCUCAUCCACAGUCCCUCAGACAAGCAUGCAGAUACAUGCUUUGUUUGGUUGGUUGGUUGGUUGGUCGGUCGGUUGGUUUUGUUUUGAGACAGGGUCUUGCUCUGUUGCUCAG
rnacentral:lncRNA from 1 species